rnacentral:lncRNA from 1 species
AAGCAUGUUGCUAUUUACCGCAAUUAUUCAAAUGCUUCCAUGUGACAUGCAAUAUUAAAACAAACAAUUAUUAAAAUGAGUAGUUGUAAUUGGAGGUCUAUAACAAACAAAAUGAUAGUAUUAGUUUAAUAUUUAGCAAAAAAUAAAAAAUGUUGCAACCUUGCAAUUAUAGCUCCAAAUCUAAAGAAUUAAACCGGGUUGCAAUGAGAGUUACCUUGCAUAAAGAUGUGUUACUUAAAGUUAGAAUGGCUUCCGUUAAUCUAAAAAGUAUUUUCAAAUAAGAAUAUACUUUCAACUAUUAAAUGUUCAUAAUAACAACCUUCUUCCAUCUGUUGCUGCAAGUGUUUUGCUUUUUCUUCUUUCAACCAUACGUACCCCCGCCAUCUCACAAAGAUACACAACGACCUAUAAAGUCCAGAGUAUGUGUUAUCAUUAUUUGUAAUAUUAAUAUUUUUUAAUGAAUAUAAAUCAUACAUACAUACGAUUGUAAUAUAUUGUUUUUAAUCAAAUUAUUCAACAAUUUUCAUUUUUAUAAUACUGUAAAUGCAUAAAAAUACCUCUACAAUAGCAUCAAAAUAAAAAAUGUCCCAACUGUUCAAAGUUUUUUUCAUUUUUUAAUUAAAUAAUAGUUGGUCACACUCUCUGUUAAUAUAUCUAGGAAUCAUGUAAACCAACCUUAACAGGGCAUCUGGUUCAAACGUGGAGCAAGGCAGCAGGAAGGUUAUUUAAAUAACCUGUACAAUAACCACAAACUAAGAAACCCUAAAAUCUAAAAAAUCACAUGAAAAAUUAUAGAUAUUUGAAAGAACAAUAGAAGCUUUAUAUUAAUCUGAGCACCAUAGCAUCAAUUUGAUUAAAAAAAACUAACCGCAUCGAUGUCUUCUUCUUAUUAGUGCUCCAACUGGAAAAAAUGAGAGUAAUAAAAAAAAGAAAUCUUCACCUUCCAGUCAGAACCCUAAAGAAAAGAAUCCAUGGACAAAACCAAAAACAAUAUUCUGAAUACAUAAUUAAACUAACCUCAUAUGAUAUUUUUGCCAAAAACUCAUAAAACUGUAGCUAAAUCUGUGUGCUCAUAAAAUCGCAAACCCAUCUAUCCGUACUAAUCUGGGGAACAAACAGCAAACCAAACGUUCUCAAAUCUAGAAAAACAAAUUAAAAAGGCAACAAAUUAGUGAACAUACCUGAUUUCAUAGAUAGAGGUGGAUCUGGCACUAUGAUUAGCAAAAGUGAGAAAAAAAACAAAGGACUGACUUGGACAUCCACUGUUUUGAUUAUCUGAUCUCAUCCAACAUUUCCUUUUCCUACUCCAAGAAGGUGCAGAUGUGUUUAUCAACCAACUUCGAGCUUGAUUACAAAACAAAUAGAUUGAAUGCACAUUAGAAAAGGAUAUUCAAAUUACCAUGUAUUUCAAUUACACUAUUCUUUUUCCACCAAAAAAACCCUUUUUUUGACAUUUUGUAUAUCAGUUUUCUAUUCCUUCAUAGCUGAUUGCUGUUAAGAAGCAUGAAGAAUAGUUAAAUAGGUCAACAUUAUCACUAUUAUCACUAUGUAGUUAUACAUUCUUCCAAAUGGAUGUCAUUAACCAUUUAGGUAACAUUGAGAUAUAAUAAUUGGAAUUAAUAGAAACAAUUUAAUUUAGUAAUUCUAACCAUAAUUUAAAAUCUUUACAUUAAUUUUUACAUUUUUAGAUGAUGAUUAAUUUGUAAAAAAAAAAUUUUGAAACAAAUAAUUACACAGAGCUGGCUCAAUUCACAUGAACUGGUGAUAAAAUAUACUAUAUACUAAUGUUUAUAAUGGGGCAUUAAUAGUUAGUUUUGUUGAUAAAUUGAAAUAAAUUGGAAAAAAACAUAAAGAAAUAGGUGUAACUGCAAAGUGAGUUGAGAAAAAAUUGUUAAUUACGAUAUGGUAGUAUCGUCAGUCAACCAUUUCUUGAAGGUGGACCAAAAUAUGACUUCCAUGUUCUGUUUUCAUGCACAUAAACAAUUUUACUCUUCAACUAUCAGUGAUAUUUACUACAUCAAUAACCAAAAAACGGAAAAAUAACCUGAUAGCAUUGUAUUUUGGUUAAUGCAAGGUACGUUGCUAUUUGGGACAUUUUACUCCAGAAAAUGAAAAAUGCACCUAACGGCAUUGUAGCUAGGUUUUUUGAAAAAAUUAAAAGAAAUUACAAAAAAUGUGAAAAAAAACGUGUAAAUGCAAAGUACAUUGCUAUUUACUGCAUUUACCAUCUAAAUAUGGAAAAUACACUAAAUGGCAAUGUACUUUGGUUUUUGGUAAAAGAGGCGUAACAAAAAUGCAAAGUACAUUACUAUUUAGUAUUCGCUAACUUUCAUUUCAAAUUCCACCAUUUUAUCCCAAUUAUAUGUGUUUUCAUCAAUUCAGAUCUCAGUUUUUCAAUUUUCCAAAAAUAAGCAAUAUCUCCUAUAAAACACAAAACAAAAAUCAUAUAAACAUAGAUUUUUUUGCUUACAUACCUUAAUAGCAGGCACACUUCCCAACUCUUUAAGAUCCUCAAACUUAAUUACCUACAAAAUAUCAAACAUACAAAUUCUCUACAUCCGAAUAGCCACUUCAUUUUUAAUUUAAACAAUACAACAAUCUAGGAGGUAAUUUUUUUUACUGUUGAUAGAAAUUACCUCAUCAGGUCAAGCAGUGAAGAAAACAUUUUCUUUCAUAUAGACCCUUUCAGAGAAAGAAAA